UAAGACGGAGGGUGCUAGCGUUGUUCGGAAUCACUGGGCGUAAAGGGCGCGUAGGCGGCUGUGGCAGUCGGGUGUGAAAGCCCGGAGCUCAACUCCGGAACGGCACUCGAGACGCCAUGGCUGGAGGCCGGAAGAGGAGGGUGGAAUACCCAGUGUAGAGGUGAAAUUCGUAGAUAUUGGGUGGAACACCGGUGGCGAAAGCGGCUCUCUGGUCCGGACCUGACGCUGAGGCGCGAAAGCGUGGGGAGCAAACAGGAUUAGAUACCCUGGUAGUCCACGCCCUAAACGAUGUGGGCUAGAUGUCGGGGGGCUUGCCCUUCGGUGUCGGAGCUAACGUGUUAAGCCCACCGCCUGGGGAGUACGGCCGCAAGGUUA
rnacentral:rRNA from 1 species